rnacentral:rRNA from 1 species
GACGAACGCUGGCGGCGUGCUUAACACAUGCAAGUCGAACGGUGAAGCGCCUUCCUUUUUGGUGGGUGUGGUGGAGUGGCGAACGGGUGAGUAACACGUGAGUAACCUGCCCCCUUCUUCUGGAUAACCGCAUGAAAGUGUGGCUAAUACGGGAUAUUCUGGGUCUGUCGCAUGAUGGGUCUGGGAAAGAUAUUGUUUCGGUGGGGGAUGGGCUGGCGGCCUAUCAGCUUGUGGGUGGGGUGAUGGCCUACCAGGGCGGUGCCGGGUAACCGGCCUGAGGGUGGCCGGCCUCAGUGGGGGUGCGACAACGCUGAGACUGAGAUGGGGGCCAGCAGUGGGGGAGAGGGCACAGUGGGGGAAAGCCUGAUGCAGGGGGGCGGCGGGAGGGAUGGAGGCCUGCGGGUUGUGAAGCUCUUUCGGCAGUGAAGCAGGCCUGCCUCGUAUGUGGGUGGGUUGACGGUAGCUGGAAAAGAAGCGCCGGCUAACUACGUG